ensembl:lncRNA
CGAGAAAUGAACAAAUCCACUUUAUGUAUGUGACCUUGUGUUCAUUCUUCUGGACAGAGUGGAGUGAGGACAGUUUAACUGGUCAUCACUGUGAGAAUAAUGGUGGAAAUGAAACGGGAAGGUGCUCUUGCUGAUGCCUGAAUACUGGAGGAUUUUUUUGGGUGCAAAUCCGAAAUUCUGAAAAUGAAAAAUUACGCAUCUAAGCCGAACUCUGGCUGAGGACGGCGGUGUGUUGGCCUCCUGGAAGAUCCAAGGUCGAGCACAUGAAGUGGAGAAGGAGACGGCUUCAGGGGAAAGUAUAUAUCAGCGGGGUGGGACGUGCUAUUCAUGUUCUCUGUUUCUAAUUCUCUGGAUGUUUUUUCACUUUCCUUUUCUAAAUGUAGAUCCAAUGUGCUUUUUAAUUCAGUCACAUUUAUGUAUGUUUUCAUUUCCCAUACAGGCAGCUUGGACUCAGUCGUCUGUCCUCAUCUGAUGAGCUCCACUUCCCGUUCCUCUGAGCUGGACAUACAGAUGGCGCAUUAUGUUCCGCUGGUCACAGAGAGGAACUUGUGUCUCCUCAUUCUCUGGUUAAUCCUGAGUGAAAUCCUAGAACCAGCUGGAGCACCUCCAUGAUCACUGCUGCUGUGACUGGAGCAGUGGAUUUAUCCAGGAGCUGUGUGAUGUAGGUAGUUUCAAGUUGUUGGGCUGGAUGCUAAAGAUCACAGGAACCUGAAACUGCCUGAGUCACACCAGCUGCAUGUCAACAGACCGAGAACAUCCAGCGUUCAACCCAACACCUCCUCUAGCAGCUGAGCAUCACUCUGCUUCUAAAUGGACAGUCUGAUGAUAAAACUAACUGCAGGCUUUUUAGAUUGCCUGCUUCUGCUAAAAGCCACAUGUGAAUUCAGAACACAUGCUCUUUGAAUAUGAGACUUCUAGUGGAUACACAGUGGUUUCCCAUCUGUUCCUGCAACAGAAGCCUCAGUAAAUACUCUGUUUGCUGCAAGGUGCUUCCAAAUGUCUUGAGUGAAUGAGUGUCUUGAAUGAAAAAGAGGCAGCUAAGUCUAGUUAACCCUCCUCCUCUUUCAUAUAAUGCUGAUGAACAACACCAGGCGCUAUCUGGGACUCAGGACGUGUUUAAAUUACACUUCUAAUGAGAAUCUGUGCACCCAAUAAAAUAACUCAUUGACUGAACUUUUUAAAGUCCUGCUAAGUUUUUCCACUUUAUCAAAUAGCUUCUUGCCACAUUAAGCAAUUCUGUUAGUUUAAUUUAAUCUGCUUGUGUUGAGUCAACUUAAUUUAUUAGGGUUGAUUCGACUUAUUUCCAAGAGUCAGGUUCUACUUAAAUUAAUCGAGUUAGGUGAACUAAGAAAUACACGAGUGAAUGAAGUUUAUCCAAAGCAGUUAAGUGAAACGGUGCAACAGGAUUACUUAAUGCUGAAAGGAAUUCAUUUAAUUACAUGGAAAUACUUUACCUGGUUUAAUCAAGUUAAUCCAAAUAAUAUGAAACUCAAGUCUACAGUUUGGUGUCAGAGGUGGAAAUAUUGAACAAGACAAACUGGAGAUCUGCUUCCCAGAUUUGGCAGUGCCAAUAAAAUAGAUAGUGAAUAUGUAUUCUGUACUUAAUGC